rnacentral:lncRNA from 1 species
GGCUCUGGCUAUGGCUGUGGAUACGGCUCUGGCUAUGGCUGUGGAUACGGCUCUGGCUAUGGCUGUGGAUAUGGCUCUGGCUAUGGCUGUGGAUACGGUUCCAGGUAUGGCUGUGGAUAUGGCUCUGGCUAUGGAAAUGGCUGUGGCUGUGGAUAUGGCUCCUACUACAGGUCUGGCUGCUGUGGCUACGGACCAUCUUGCUACAGGAGAUGCUAUUCUUGCUGUUAGAACACUCCUAAGAGAGGACCAGUUGCUGCUGAACUGACACUUCUGAAGACAAUGCUUCUUUAAAGACCCCUGGCCAAGAUCUCUAUGUCCAAGAAAUCACGAAUCUGACAAAGCCUUUCACCUCCAGCUGCACAUUUUUAGAAGGCAUCUUUGUGAUCCUGGGAUCUGCAGUAUCGUCUCACUGGCUCUGCUUUCUUGCCAUCUGGUUCUGUUGCCUGAGCAUGUUAAUGGCUGCAACAUCAACAGCUGGCAAUGUGAUUUCUUUUCAAUAAAAUGGGUCUUGGUUUCUAACAAA